AGUGAACGCUGGCGGUAGGCCUAACACAUGCGAGUCGAACGGCAGCACAGUAAGAGCUUGCUCUUACGGGUGGCGAGUGGCGGACGGGUGAGGAAUACAUCGGAAUCUACUUUUUCGUGGGGGAUAACGUAGGGAAACUUACGCUAAUACCGCAUACGACCUACGGGUGAAAGCAGGGGAUCUUCGGACCUUGCGCGAUUGAAUGAGCCGAUGUCGGAUUAGCUAGUUGGCGGGGUAAAGGCCCACCAAGGCGACGAUCCGUAGCUGGUCUGAGAGGAUGAUCAGCCACACUGGAACUGAGACACGGUCCAGACUCCUACGGGAGGCAGCAGUGGGGAAUAUUGGACAAUGGGCGCAAGCCUGAUCCAGCCACGCCGCGUGGGUGAAGAAGGCCUUCGGGUUGUAAAGCCCUUUUGUUGGGAAAGAAAAGCAGCAGGUUAAUACCCCGCUGUUCUGACGGUACCCAAAGAAUAAGCACCGGCUAACUUCGUG
rnacentral:rRNA from 1 species